ACAUUUCAUAUUCAAAAUUUUCAUUCAUAUUUCUUCAUUACAUUGGAAACUUUUUCAUUCAUAUUCAAGAAUUUCCACAUACUCAUUCAUAGUUUGAUUACUUCGCUCAUUCAUUCAAUCAUAAUCAUCCAUGUACAUGGCAUAUGAAUAACUUAUAAUAAAAAAAAACAUCUCAUCACAUGAAUACAUGAAGUUUCUA
rnacentral:lncRNA from 1 species